rnacentral:snoRNA from 1 species
CACCUGUCAGGGUUGCACCUAGAGAGUUUCCAGUCCUCUACCUGUCUCGACUAUGGGAGGGAGAGUCAGGCAGAGGCCUAUCCAUUCCAUUCCUAGCUUGGGCAGUGGCUAGCGAGUGGAAGGCAAUCUGCUACAAGU